AGUGAACGCUGGCGGCAGGCCUAACACAUGCAAGUCGAGCGGCAGCGGGAAAGUAGCUUGCUACCUUUGCCGGCGAGCGGCGGACGGGUGAGUAAUGCCUGGGGAUCUGCCCAGUCGAGGGGGAUAACUACUGGAAACGGUAGCUAAUACCGCAUACGCCCUACGGGGGAAAGCAGGGGACCUUCGGGCCUUGCGCGAUUGGAUGAACCCAGGUGGGAUUAGCUAGUUGGUGAGGUAAUGGCUCACCAAGGCGACGAUCCCUAGCUGGUAUGAGAGGAUGAGCAGCCACAGUGGAACUGAGACACGGUCCAGACGCCUACGGGAGGCAGCAGUGGGGAAUAUUGCACAAUGGGGGAAACCCUGAUGCAGCCAUGCCGCGUGUGUGAAGAAGGCCUUCGGGUUGUAAAGCACUUUCAGCGAGGAGGAAAGGUUGGUAGCUAAUAACUGCCAGCUGUGACGUUACUCGCAGAAGAAGCACCGGCUAACUCCGUGCCAGCCGCCGCCGUAACAC
rnacentral:rRNA from 1 species